GAUUGUGGUACAACACAUCGAAAAAACCCGGACAAAUAUUCAUUUCACAGGUGAAUCAUUCUACAUCGACAGGACCUAAUUUUAAGUUUAUGUUUGCCAAUUCCCUACGAGUUAUUGAUAUUGUUACGGCCGUGUUCAG